GCCAGACUCCUACGGGAGGCAGCAGUGGGGGAUAUUGCACAAUGGGGGAAACCCUGAUGCAGCGACGCUGCGUGGGUGAAGAAGUAUUUCGGUAUGUAAAGCCCUAUCAGCAGGGAAGAAAGAAGACGGUACCUGACUAAGAAGCCCCGGCUAACUACGUGCCAGCAGCCGCGGUAAUACGUAGGGGGCAAGCGUUAUCCGGAUUUACUGGGUGUAAAGGGAGCGUAGACGGCAGCGCAAGUCUGGAGUGAAAUGCCGGGGCUCAACCCCGGAACUGCUUUGGAAACUGUGCAGCUAGAGUGCGGGAGAGGUAAGCGGAAUUCCUAGUGUAGCGGUGAAAUGCGUAGAUAUUAGGAGGAACACCAGUGGCGAAGGCGGCCUGCUGGACGGUGACUGACGCUGAGGCUCGAAAGCGUGGGGAGCAAACAGGAUUAGAUACCCCGGUAU
rnacentral:rRNA from 1 species